UGGCGGCCUGUUUUGAAAAAAUUAGGGGAAAAUUUAUUAUCGGUUAGUAUCUGUGGGCCGUGAAAAAGGGAACGAAAAUGGCCUUCAGCUUCUCUUGACUUUGAGAGCAAGUGUUUUUUCGCUUUGGAUACAUUUACUAUGAAGAAGAAAUCAUGGUUACAGGAUGUUACAAUUAGACAAGGAAUGGCGAAAGGCGCACGUGAACUCAUCUCUUGUUGGGAAGUUUGCUUGUAAGCAGCUUGUUCGAGCACUGUGCCUGUAAGCAAGAAUGUGAAGAUUAUUUCUAUUCAAACAUCUUGGCUCUCAGUGGAUCUGUGGACCCUGAUCUAAUUUAUAUGGUGCCAAUGUUAAGUAUUUUAGAAAGCAAGAAUGCGAAUAUCGCUUGUAUUCAAUCUUCAGCGGACAAGGGGACCCUGAUGGACUUCGUGUGAUGCUAAUGGUUCCGAUCAGUUUGAAGCUUCAACAUCCUCCACGGCAACCCACGGGCACUUGACUGUUGUCCAUGUUCCGGAUGUGGGGAAUUCGAACCUUGCCUGGGUAAAACCUAUUACUUAGUUGGAGAGCUGGUCAGAAAGGAUGCUGGUACCGACUUGCAAGUUACUGUGAUGAUUUCUUUCAACAUCCGAAAUAUUCGGUACGGCGGAGAUUACAAGUUUAAAAAGAAUGUCCAGGGAGAUAAGUGGU